GUCCAGCUGUGCCCUGGGAUGGCUGUUCAGGUUGAUGCCUUGGUGGGGUGCUGACAGCAAACCCUUGUUCCUGCAGAGAACUGCCUGCAAGAAGAUACUGCCUAUGUGGAGCCCAUAUCUCUGGAUCACUACUACAAUUGCACCAGGCUCUUCAAACCACCCUGUGGUAGAUCUCCAGGCAAGCCAGAGAAAGACGAGGAUUCCUAUUCCUAUGAAAAUGUCACCAUUGGAGUGUCUCAGGGCUCUGAUCCAGAUGAGGCUGUAG
rnacentral:lncRNA from 1 species